GAUGAACGCUAGCUACAGGCUUAACACAUGCAAGUCGAGGGGAAACAACAUCGAAAGCUCGCUUUUGAUGGGCGUCGACCGGCGCACGGGUGAGUAACGCGUAUCCAACCUGCCCACCACUUGGGGAUAACCUUGCGAAAGUAAGACUAAUACCCAAUGACGUCUCUAGAAGACAUCUGAAGGAGAUUAAAGAUUUAUCGGUGAUGGAUGGGGAUGCGUCUGAUUAGCUUGUUGGCGGGGUAACGGCCCACCAAGGCGACGAUCAGUAGGGGUUCUGAGAGGAAGGUCCCCCACAUUGGAACUGAGACACGGUCCAAACUCCUACGGGAGGCAGCAGUGAGGAAUAUUGGUCAAUGGGCGAGAGCCUGAACCAGCCAAGUAGCGUGCAGGAUGACGGCCCUAUGGGUUGUAAACUGCUUUUAUAAGGGAAUAAAGUGAGUCUCGUGAGACUUUUUGCAUGUACCUUAUGAAUAAGGACCGGCUAAUUCCGUGCCAGCCGCCGCCGUAA
rnacentral:rRNA from 1 species